GAAUGCUACGAGAGAAAAUGAACAGGAUCUGCAGCUGAAUCCAGAUUAUCCCACCUUUUGGCACUGACUGGCAUCCUGGAGGAACUGGAGGUUAAUUAGUUGUCAGUAAACUGAAACCCAGAGCAAUGGAAACUCGUACUUUAUUGUUAAGGAAGCCCCAGUGUCUCAGCUUUGUUAACUCCCUUAUUAACAACUUCGAAUACAUUAUUAAAGAGAAGUGAGGGCAAUAAAUCACACCAGCCCUGACAGAUUUGGGCAGCACACCUCUCUCAACAAGAGAAAAUAAGGUAACCUCAAAGCAAAAAGUGGAAAAGUCUCCCUUUUUAAAAUGGAAAUGGAGUGGCCAUUUUAGAGCACCGUCUGCUGGGGUCCUGCUUGCACACAGACACCCUGCAACCACAGCAAGGCUGCUGAAAGAGCAAGUGUGGAGGAACAGCCAACCUCCACACUCGUACGGGUGUUUGAAGAACAGAGCUCCCAACGUGCCCCUGACAUCAGCCAUCCCUGAGCAGUCAGUCACCACCAGGCUGGGGCUUGGGAUCUCCUAAAAACCUACUGCAGGGCAGGGAAUUGUGAUCCAUAACAUUCACAUGGGGCUGUGUCUGGCUGGGCCAGUAUGAGGCACCAGAGGAGAAGCUGCCUGAAAGGUAAGUGGAGAUAAAAGCUCCAUCUCAUACCUCAGACACUGGCAGCAAAAGCUGGACACAGAUUUGUGACACGGGUCUGAGGUGACAGGACAAGGGGGAAUAGCUUCCCACUGCCAGAGGGCAGGGAUAGAUGGGGUAUUGAGAGGGAAUUCUUCCCUGUGAGGGUGGGGAGGCCCUGGCACAGGUUGCCCAGAGAAGCUGUGGCUGCCCCUGGAUCCCUGGAAGUGUCCAAGGCCAGGCUGGAUGGGGCUUGGAGUAACCUGGGCUAGUGGAAGGUGUCCCUGCCCAUGGCAGUUGGGUGGAAAUAGGUCCCUCCCAACCCAAACCAAUCUGGGAUUCCUGGAGUGCUAAAAUCAUAUAAUAUGAAACCACUUUACUUCAACCUUGUUUUGUUAAUGACUGUGACAAGUCACUUCCAUUGAACAAGUGCCAUGACACAGCAGCCCAUGAGGUUUUCCCCAGGAACUCCAGGUUCAGCAGACAGCUUUACAAGUCCACACACCUCAACAAACACAACAGAUCUCUAGUGCACAUCGACCAGCCAAGUGAAUAAACCACAACUGCUCGGAGGUGACAAUAUCUGAGAUAAUGUGAUGGCCACUAAUUACACAGCCACCAAACUAAACUGAAAACCACCUGCAUGUGGCACGCACAAGGGUCUACAGGACAGCUGCGCUCACCAUGGGCAAGGACAUCACCACAGAGCUCUCCAUCACCUUCAAAGAUGGAGCAACCACCACCUGCACAAACUCACUCAUUGUUUCAAGGGGAUGGAAGGAGAAGAACCAGCACAGCACCAUGUCUGCAAAGCCAGUCACACCAUUCCUCCUCCUGACAUCCAAAGUGAUCUAAAAUAAACUGAAGGCCAAGUUUAAAUUGCAGCACACUGACCAGCCACAGCCUGGCCCACCCUGGAGCACCAGCAGCCCCUCACUCUCCCUCAUCAACUCAGCCAAAGCUGUGCUUAAGUCAUGUGUUUUUUUGAGAAAAGCAUCUGGUCUUUCUUCAGAAGGCAAAGAUGAUGAACUAUGUCUGACUAUAGGCUAUUCCAGUGGUAAAUAACUGUUAGAAACAUGUGAUUAAGCUCCUUUUUAUGUCACUAACUUCCAGUCAUUGGUAUUUUUUGGUGUCUCUUCUGUAGUUAGUCCCAGGAAUUUGGUCUCUGAUCCCUUUCUAACUAUUUACAUACUCUGUGAAAUGUUUACCUAAUGUUUCUUGCUAAACUGAAAACACUAUUUUUGCUUGCUGGCUUUUCAUUUCAGCUUUAAUAUCAUUUUCUGUGGUGGUUAUUUUUUGGCAUGUUCUUAAAUAUUGCAGAUCAUUAACAAGCUGGAUUGCAGAAGCACAUUUUAAAAAAAAUAAAUCAGCAAAGAACUGGCA